UGAAGUCCAGUUGGCAUGAGCACAGGACAGGAGGAGUUUAAAUGAUGUGCAGAUAUCACAUCAUACCAGCCUAUAUAAAUCUUCAGCUGGAUACAAAUAUCUACUAAGAUAUCUUCUUAUUGCUAGUGGAGCUUUUUAAAAUGCAUCCUUUUCCUUUUUUCCAAUUGUUUGUUUUAGAUACAUUGAUGCCAUUCACUGAUCUAUUCUGAUAACUCAGUUUUUACCGAGUCCCUGCAUUGAUACAAAAAACUUCAGUUUUAAAUCGAGCAAUCAAAAUUCCAUUCAGUUCUUUGAUGAGAAAUACAAGCCUUCUUUGGUGGAGAAGAUAAAGUCUCACCGGAUAAAAAUGCAGACAACAGAAAACGAGGUUCUGUUUAAUUUUUUUAAGGCAAGGAAGCAAACAACAACAAAAAUUGUGCUCAGGGAAAGUAAAUGAUAUCUGUCUACAGUCUUUCAAUUUCUCGAAAGUGAGAGGGCAAUAAAAGGGCUGCCAAAUCAGAAUAAACCUGAAAAAGAAAUAUUCUGCAGUCCGUGAUUGAAAGUGAACAUAAAAGGCUGUCAGGUAGAUGGAUGCCUUAUUGCUAUUUCAUAUUUGAAAGUGGGAAACAAGGACAAAAAACAGCUGAAGAUGUGAAAUCUCAUGUCUUCCAUCUAUUUCAGGGGACCUGGCAGAUGCAGCUAACCUUGGCUUUUGAUCAUGAUCAUAUUCCCUAUGCUUUUCUACACAUUGAUCAGCUGAUCCACCUGAUGAAAGCUUGUCACAGAGAGUACGCUAGAGAAUUAUAUUUAUUAUGUACACAUUUCUCACUGUUACGUUUUUACAGCAAACAAGCUCUGAAUGCCAAAAAAAAAGGAGGUUAGCAAGUAAAUAUAGUUGCAGCACAGUGGGAAGUGGACUGAUAACAACCCCUCAAAUUCAGCUUGCAAAUCUUCAAUUUCUUCUUUCAAAUUUGAGACAACAAAAGCAGAUCCUUGCAAACUGCUUGCUGUGUGUUCAACACAGUUGGCAUUCUUAUC